GACACGUCAAGUGGUCGUUAUCAUCACGCUGGAAAUUCGAAAUUUCACGAGGUUACCCCCAGUUACAACAAUACCGGAAGUUCUUCAAUGACUUCGUCGUCGAACCGCGCAGGAUUCGCCGCGAAUCAUGCCGUCUCCAUGGAAAUGCAGUGACGGUCGUACAAAAAGUAAAUAUGUUCUCGAGUUGACUAGACUGUUUUAAAUAUGUUUUGAAUUAGAGACAGUAUAUAUACUCAACAGUUAACCUAUUAUGAUAAUACUCAGAAUGGCAGUUAAAUUUUGCAUGCAUGUAAAAGUCUUACCAAGUAUUUUAGCCAAACCGCACUGCACAACCAGAAGGGUAUUUUGAAUGAAAGCUGAAGUUUGAUGCUUAGUGUAGCGUGUACUGUAAACGUAGAACUCGUAUUAAUAAUUAGUAUAGUAAAUAAUGUAAUGUUUCAAAGACAAAGAACAUAGGAUUCGUUAUUCAAAUGAUUUCGUAACUUUUGAGGAAGGCGGGAUAGGUUCAUUGACUUGAAAUACUCAUUAAUAAUUCAUAAACCUUGUGGCAAAUCAUGUCAGCCAUAAUAUGUCACGUACGUGGAGUGACUUUAUAUCUGAUAAAGCAUGUGGCAUUAUAUAAUUCUCCAUCCUAAUUAGUAUGAUUAUAUAAUGGUUCAUCCUAAUUAGUAUCCUUUUGUAGUCGUCAUUUAAGCUAUUCUAAACACUCGUUGUCGUGUUUUAUCAGACAUAAAAUCUGAUAAAACACCCCUUUGAGUGUUUUAAAUAGUACUUCAAACAAUAAUUCAUAAGCUUAUUAACAGUUAAUAAUUCAUAAGCUUAUUAGCAAAUCAUGUCAACCAUAACAUGUCACGUGAGUGGCUUUAAAACUGAUAAAACACUCCUAAUUAGUAUUCUUUAUAUAAAGAAUCUAAUAAGGCAGUAUCUAUUGUUGGUCGUGUCCUCAUUAGUAUUUUUUAUACAAAGAAUACUAAUAAGGCAGUAAAUCUAUUGAAUUUGUAGUCGUGUUUGAAGCCGUUUAAUAAACUCGCAG